rnacentral:rRNA from 1 species
AAGUCCCGCAACGAGCGCAACCCUUAUCCUUUGUUGCCAGCGGUCCGGCCGGGAACUCAAAGGAGACUGCCAGUGAUAAACUGGAGGAAGGUGGGGAUGACGUCAAGUCAUCAUGGCCCUUACGACCAGGGCUACACACGUGCUACAAUGGCGCAUACAAAGAGAAGCGACCUCGCGAGAGCAAGCGGACCUCAUAAAGUGCGUCGUAGUCCGGAUUGGAGUCUGCAACUCGACUCCAUGAAGUCGGAAUCGCUAGUAAUCGUGGAUCAGAAUGCCACGGUGAAUACGUUCCCGGGCCUUGUACACACCGCCCGUCACACCAUGGGAGUGGGUUGCAAAAGAAGUAGGUAGCUUAACCUUCGGGAGGGCGCUUACCACUUUGUGAUUCAUGACUGGGGUGAAGUCGUAACAAGGUAACCGUAGGGGAACCUGCGGUUGGAUCACCUCCUUACCUUAAAGAAGC